GUGUAGCUCACCGGCCAGAGCAUUUGCCUUGCAUGCAGAAGGUCCCAGGUUGUCCUGUCUGAAACCCUGAAGAGCUGCAGCU